rnacentral:rRNA from 1 species
CCUACGGGAGGCAGCAGUGAGGAAUAUUGGUCAAUGGGCUUACGCCUGAACCAGCCAAGUCGCGUGAGGGAAGACUGCCCUAUGGGUUGUAAACCUCUUUUGUCAGGGAGCAACGCCGGCUACGUGUAGCCGGACUGAGAGUACCUGAAGAAAAAGCAUCGGCUAACUCCGUGCCAGCAGCCGCGGUAAUACGGAGGAUGCGAGCGUUAUCCAGAUUUAUGGGGUUUAAAGGGUGCGUAGGCGGAAUGCCAAGUCAGCGGUAAAAUCGCGGGGCUCAACCUCGCUCCGCCGUUGAAACUGGCGUUCUUGAGUGGGCGAGAAGUAUGCGGAAUGCGUGGUGUAGCGGUGAAAUGCAUAGAUAUCACGCAGAACUCCGAUUGCGAAGGCAGCAUACCGGCGCCCAACUGACGCUGAAGCACGAAAGCGUGGGUAUCGAACAGGAUUAGAUACCCUAGUAGUC